rnacentral:rRNA from 1 species
UACGAAGGGGGCAAGCGUUGUUCGGAAUUACUGGGCGUAAAGGGCGCGUAGGCGGCUUAUCAAGUCAGGCGUGAAAUUCCCGGGCUCAACCUGGGGGCUGCGCUUGAUACUGAUUGGCUUGAAUGCGGGAGAGGAUAGUGGAAUUCCCAGUGUAGAGGUGAAAUUCGUAGAUAUUGGGAAGAACACCGGUGGCGAAGGCGGCCUUCUGGACAGCAACUGACGCUGAGACGCGAAAGCGUGGGGAGCAAACAGG